ACGGAUUUCAACAAGAACUGAAUAUUCAUGAUCUUUUCUGAUUUUAGAAGCUAAUCAGGGUCAGGGAUGGUCAGUAUUUAGAUGGGGUGCCCAUGAAAGAGCGUCAGAGAUCUCUA
rnacentral:rRNA from 1 species